rnacentral:rRNA from 1 species
UACGUAGGGACCAAGCGUUGUUCGGAUUUACUGGGCGUAAAGGGCGCGUAGGCGGCAAUUCAAGUCAUCUGUGAAAUCUCCGGGCUUAACUCGGAACGGUCAGGUGAUACUGCUUUGCUAGAGUGCGGAAGGGGCAAUCGGAAUUCUUGGUGUAGCGGUGAAAUGCGUAGAUAUCAAGAGGAACACCUGAGGUGAAGACGGGUUGCUGGGCCGACACUGACGCUGACAGCGCGAAAGCCAGGGAGCAAACGGG